AGCAUCAUGGCGCAGUUGGCAGCGCGCGGGGCCCAUAGGAUUAUGUAAUCCGGUGACCCCGAGGUCACUCGAUCGAGGCGAGUUGAUGCUA